AACGAACGAGACUCUGGCAUGCUAACUAGUUACGCGACC
rnacentral:piRNA from 2 species